GGUUCGUAGUGACCAGCGGAGGAUCAUUA
rnacentral:rRNA from 1 species